rnacentral:rRNA from 1 species
UACAGAGGGUGCAAGCGUUGUUCGGAAUUAUUGGGCGUAAAGCGCGUGUAGGCGGCUUUGCAAGUCGGGUGUGAAAGCCCUCAGCUUAACUGAGGAAGUGCGCCCGAAACUGCAGAGCUUGAAUACCGGAGAGGAUGGCGGAAUUCCCCAAGUAGAGGUGAAAUUCGUAGAUAUGGGGAGGAACACCGGUGGCGAAGGCGGCAUCCUGGACCAUGACUGACGCUGAGGAGCGAAAGCCAGGGGAGCAAACGGG